CCAUUUCUGAUCACACGGCUAAAUUAAGGAGGCAGCGAUCGGAGCUGCGAAAUUUGGGGGUGACGUCAGUGCAGGAUGGAGAUGCUGCGGCGCUGAACUCAGUCAAUAAAAAACAUCUCGAGGUGCUGCUUUUGAAGCGUUAGAAGCUCGCAAACAGAGGCUGGGAGGACUUCAUGGAGUCGUUGAACGAAUGAGGAUAACCCCAAGUCCACCCGGAGCACUGCAGCCAGAGGCCCUUAUAGUGAGGAAAACCGAGCUUCCUCCCUCAGGUCCGGAAACAGCUCGAAGUGUGUCUGCACCCAUCAUGGCUGAACCACAGAGGAGCUCUCCUGCAGACGAAACAACUCACAUUAGGAUUGAUGCUAAAAACUGAGAGGGAGAGCCUCCACGGAUCUCGUUUAGGAAAAAGUCAAGAACUUACGCUUACUCAUGUCUGCUCAGAGAGCGCUCUGGACUCCGGCUGAUGGUUGGGAUUGA